AACGUCAUCUGCGAACGCCUAUGAUUGAAGCUCGAGUUUAGGAUAAAAGACAGUAUAUAUGAGUAGACGCGAUAACCAGUCGAUAGUGCGACAACUACCAGAUACAGGGCACUCGUAUCAGAUCUGUUGAAUAGAACAUGGAUAUCAAUCAGUUUGUCACCGUUAUAGUUAUAACAACGCUUUUAUUAAUAAGAAGUGUCCGAUCACAGAAGCUCGCAGGUUUACGAAAACUGGAUUGUCCAGAGGAUUGGUCAGAAGACAGCGAGAAUGGGCGAUGUUAUCUUCAUGUUCCGUCCUGUAUAGAGAAUUAUACAUUUGACGAAUUAACCAUGUUUUGUCAGGCUGUGUUAAAUGCAGAUAUAGACUAUGUCAAUGGACGACUUUCGUGUAUUGAUGAAUCGGGAAUAUCUAGCAGCUUACUAGUUGAUCUUUUGGAACCCAGAUCAAGAAGUGUUUUGGAACCCAGAUCUAGAAGUGUUUUGAGAAAACGAGUAUUUGGUAAUUCUGGUUUUGGGCGCUAAAGAAGACAAGGUUUUGGGACGUUUCACCGGUUUACAGCAUUGAGACACAUUCCGGUUAUCACAAGACUGAACAAUAUGAUGCACAAUAAAUGAUAAAGGGGC